rnacentral:lncRNA from 1 species
CUGAGAAGCAAUCAAAGUCAAGUCUCUAGAGCUCAGGGAGAGGUUUUCAUAAAGUCCUAAAGCACCUCUGCAAAGAGAAGCUAAAAUAAGAUAAAUCUCCUGAAGGGCUGUCAACCGUGUCAUCAUCAUUUGCGCCUCUAUUAACUAAUGAUAGUGACAAGGAGGAGGAGACUAUCGUGUCAUCAUCAUCACUCUCAUCAUCCAACAAUGGUCCACCUGCACCACUGGACACACCUGCUCAGUCUUUGUGCCUGCCUGCAGGUUGAUGAGGCAUAUAAGGAGGCUAGAUUUGUUUAAAGAUGUUGGUUUAGGAAUGACAAGAAAGCAGGGUAAAAGGAGAGAGAUGCAGAAGCACAAAUUCCCAGCAGAAAAAGCCUACCACCAAGUAUUUGAGACUCUGCUCAUUCUCCAGAAUGCUGUCACACCCACAGGAUCCCAUAGGAUUCUCUCCCCACGGGGCCGUCUGUUAAGCAGAAGACAACCUUCCUAUUAUUGGGAAACUCAGGAUAAAAAGCACAAACGUGGGGAAACUACAAAGGCAGAUGGGUUUCAGCACACUUCCCCUCUUCUCAGCUCAUCAGCCUGAACAUGCCAUCAGGCGUGAGCAUGCGCUAUGCCCACCAGCCUGUGGUAUUCUGAAGACCCCCUGGCUCAGUCUGCUUUACAGCGAUGUCAAGAAUUAAAUGAGAUAACAUAAGAAGCCAUGUGAAAUGUUUAAAAUACAUGUGGUAUAUGGUAAUCAGGUUAGUUGUCAGUGUACCGGUUAUUCUCCACUUGACUCACCUCCAUGUGUUCUCAGCCCGAGGAGGCUGACCGCUGAGGAAGGCACCACCCCGGGCACCCCUGCUGGCUGUCUUCUGGUUUAGCCAAAGGGAAGUACCCAGAAGGAAAACUGGGUGGGGAUUUCUUCUCCUCACCCUGCCUGCUUUGGUGCCCCAUCUCUAGAGGCUUCCUCCCCAGCUCCAGUGUUCACUGGUUCAGGCACCAAGAUUUCCUUCUUCCUUUUGUCCUUUAGCCCUAGGGAGGUAAUGGCUGUCACUGAUGCAAGUCUCUUGGUACCUCAGCAUUCCGUAUUUGUUCCCUUAACCCUGCCCGCAUCUCUGUUAAUCCCUUUAUUAAAGCCUUUUUAUUCGAAUCACCUGGGAUAAAUUCUGUUUUCCUGUCAGGCCCCUGACUGACAAACUCAGAUGUGCACAUCUGUGUCUAACCAGCUGAAACGGUCAGCCUUGUCCUCAUUCAUCACUGGGAGCAGAGACACUAGUGUCCAAUACUGGUUUUGUCUUCAGUGCAGAGCUUCCAAAUUUCAAGCAAGGCGAUCUUGCCCCUCCUUCCUCCCUUCUUUCUAGAGGCAGUGGCCUAGCUGCACAUUCUUACAAAGCAGCUCAGCGUGGGCUGCCAGCAAUCUGACAUCAGGAUGGAAGAAUACAGAGGCCUCAGAGGUUCUACAUUUUCUGGAAUCUAAUGAUUCUGCUGAUCCUUUGGUUUGGCAAUAGCUACUUCAAUUUCAAGAUGCUUAAAUCACUUCUUUGUUCUUUCUGCUGUGUAACUAGGGCACCAUAAAGAGUUUAGUGGAAUUGCUGUUUGGG